rnacentral:tRNA from 6 species
GUGUCAGUAGCUCAGUUGGAUAGAGCAACGGCCUUCUAAGCCGUGGGUCGGGGGUUCGAAUCCCUCCUGGCACG